UGGUUCUCUGUGCAGAGGGGAAGGAAGGAUGCGGACACAGGACUCAGGAUACAAGAGACUAAGAAGCACUGAACCACAUAGAGAAAAAGCUGAUUCCAGUUCUCCUGUGGGCACCGAGAAGUCUCUCCCUGGCAGCAUGUCUUUAAUAUAUCUAGACAGAGAAGACUUCAGGCCUAGAAGUUUAUUAGCGAGCAAUAUGUCUAGCUCUACUGCUGUCUGUUCCAACAGAGCAGACACGGCAUCCUGUGGAGACAAAUGCCCAAGGGUUCAUCUGCAUACUAUUUGCAAGAAUCAGAGCUUAGAGUGUGACCUUCCCUGUGAACUAAGACUAAAACUGAAGUCCAGAGUGGAUAAGCAUUCAGCAUGAGAAAAGUGGAGCCUCACAGCGGUGAAAUGACUGACCUGUCACCUAACUAACAAACACACCCGGUCAGUGUUUUUUCUGCCUCUUACAGCAAGCCUCCACUAUGGACCACUAUGCAGAUAGCAGUAUCUCAAUAAAGGUCAAUUUUCUAUCUUC